CGCUAACUCAUGAUGCAAUUACAGCUGCCCGGGUGAAUCCACACUUCUCCCUUUGCUACAUAGAAACAGAUCAGUUGUUGAAAAUGUAUUAAAAAGAUAGAAGAAGUCCAAAGAAGAUGUUGGGGCUUGGUCCUAGGAAGAGUUAGUGCGAAUAUUGUGGAAAGUUUUGUCCAUAUACAGACCAAUUGCAAAGAGCCAGCUGACCAAGAAUUUUCAGAAGAUAACAGACCGUUCCCUCUUUUGGUGCAAGCACUGCUAGCUACAGGAGACCAAUGAAUUUAUGUUGAUCGGUUUGGAGGUGUCCAUACCCAGGAUGGUAUGGGCUGUAGCGGAGGAGCUUUGACGGCUUCGCCUCACCGCAGUGCACAUACAUGCUACUACUGGUAUGCCUCUAUUCUCAAUGUCUCUUGGAUUGUUUCUUUUUGUGUAGGAUUAUUUAUGUUCCUUGCUUGCACACACACAUGUACGGCUGGGUUGUGUAAGUACCUUAGCCUAAUCCUGAAUUCCUUUCCAGUAGAUAAACAUGAUGACACAUCACAGGCACGUGACUUGAUUUUAUUUAUAUUGAGAAUGUUUGUGAGAAUGCGCUAAAUCUGA